CGGGCCACUCUCCCCUUUCCGCUCCCGCCGCCAUGAGGGGAGUGUGUCCCUCGUGCGGUCCCGCCGAUGAACGGAUAUCAGCUACACUCCUCCUUCCUGUGCCUUCAGUGCAGAUCUGCCCCCCAAAUGUGGAGACCUAAAGCUACUUCUUCCCAAGGUAAAAAAAAAAUAUUCUUGAAAAUUAAAUAUAAAAUUGUGCUUAGUGUUGAGCUGGAUAGCAUCUUCUGCUCUGAUGAGAUCAGAAGACAGCUUAAUUCCUUGAGUAAAGCUAUCCCUCUGGUGCCACAGUGA
rnacentral:lncRNA from 1 species